rnacentral:rRNA from 2 species
AAAGUCUGAUGGAGCAACGCCGCGUGAGUGAUGAAGGUUUUCGGAUCGUAAAACUCUGUUGUAAGGGAAGAACCAGUACGUCAGGCAAUGGACGUACCUUGACGGUACCUUAUUAGAAAGCCACGGCUAACUACGUGCCAGCAGCCGCGGUAAUACGUAGGGGGCAAGCGUUAUCCGGAUUUACUGGGUGUAAAGGGAGCGUAGGUGGUUCGGCAAGUCAGAUGUGAAAGCCCGGGGCUCAACCCCGGGACUGCAUUUGAAACUGUCGGGCUAGAGUGCAGGAGAGGUAAGUGGAAUUCCUAGUGUAGCGGUGAAAUGCGUAGAUAUUAGGAGGAACACCAGUGGCGAAGGCGGCUUACUGGACUGUAACUGACACUGAGGCUCGAAAGCGUGGGGAGCAAACA